rnacentral:misc_RNA from 1 species
GAUGAAGAACGCAGCGAAAUGCGAUAAGUAAUGUGAAUUGCAGAAUUCAGUGAAUCAUCGAAUCUUUGAACGCAACUUGCGCCCUCUGGUAUUCCGGAGGGCAUGCCUGUUUGAGUGUCAUGUAGACUCAAUCCCUCGGGUUUCUGAGGAGGUUGGAUUUGGGUGCUUGCCUUCUGGCUCGCCUUAAAGGACUUGGCAGGAUAGCACUGUAGUCGACGUAAUAAGUCUCGUCGGUGAAAGUGUGAUGUCUGCUUACAGAUUGCCCUUGGGCACUUUUGACUCUGACCUCAAAUCAGGUAGGACUACCCGCUGAACUUAAGCAUAUCAAUAAGCGGAGGA